UAUGUACAGUGAGGAAAUUGGAAACGCAUGUGUAAUGUUCAAGGAAAGGCAGGUGAUACUACUGCACUUUCUCUCAGAUUCUUGCCAGUUUACAUUGUCUACCAGGGAAGCACUGUUUGUUCAGCGUCAACUGACCACUGGGUUCUAAGCUGAUCACUUGGUUCUUCACCAGUCUGAUGUCCUUAGAAAUGAUGACUGUAGAUUCAGGCAUCUUGAAUAUAAUUUUUCUGGUUUUAAAGACAGAUGUGGAGCAGAGAAGACUAGGAAGAAGAAGACCCCAAGCCGAAUGCUGAUUGGAAUUUGAAGUAUUAGAGGGGACCUGGGAAUCUCGAGGCAGAAAACCUGCUUAGGAGGAGCACCCGCUUCACCCCUCAGCACAGCAAGAAGAAAACCUAAGCUCAGUUUCCAGCUCAAUCAACAAAUUAGCAAAAGUGUCUCUGUUGAAUAUAUAAGUAGGUUGAAGGCCUUCAGACUCCCUGUCUGUACUUGAUUGUCUACUUUUGUAUACUUCUAGGAAUGAGGAAUCUGUCCAUGACUCUGAACACUUCGUGUUGUAUGCAAUUAUGUUUAAAGUGUGGUGUGAGGAGGGAGUAUUUCAGCACAAGUGUUGCAUUUCUUUAGCUAAUAAUUUACAUUAUUUAACAUGCCUUUUCUGUGGUAACUGAGAGGAUUUGGUUAUAUCCAUUGCCUUUGAUGUGAAAGAUCACCUCCUUCCCAUCUGCAAUUACUCAUUUCUUUCCCACUUCCAUUAAUACCUGCUUUAUCCAUUGUGUUAGGGGAAUGUUUGAGGAGCUGGACUGUAACCAGGUAACCAAAGUGACACAAAACUGCUGCAUUUGGGCAGAAGCAGCUGGCCAGAGGUAAGGGCAAUAGCAAGAAUCUGUAAAUUGGCUUUGUUUCUGCCACCCACAUGCUGCUACACUCCAAACUAGCUAGUGCAGUAGAGGACAAACAGUCAGCACAUUGGGUAUUGACUUUCUCCUCCACAGUAUCUUGCUUGUAUCCAGGUCUCAGAUCACCUGCCAUGGUGACCCAAGGAUGUUAAAUAUUCUCAAUUUAAUAUAAGAUGUGCA